rnacentral:rRNA from 1 species
UACCAGCACCCCGAGUGGUCGGGACGAUUAUUGGGCCUAAAGCAUCCGUAGCCGGUCCUACAAGUCUUCCGUUAAAUCCACCUGCUUAACAGAUGGGCUGCGGAAGAUACUAUAGGGCUAGGAGGCGGGAGAGGCAAGCGGUACUCAGUGGGUAGGGGUAAAAUCCUCUGAUCCAUUGAAGACCACCAGUGGCGAAGGCGGCUUGCCAGAACGCGCUCGACGGUGAGGGAUGAAAGCUGGGGGAG